rnacentral:lncRNA from 1 species
UCUGAAGGCUAGUCUGGCUUAAAACUACCAGUUUCAGCGGCUUGCAAUUUUCUCUUAUAUUUGGGUGGGGAAGAUUUUUCAGUUUUCCCUUAGAGACACUUUCCCUUGUGGGGCAUGAUAGUGUGUUCCUCGUUGCAGAAGGACCCCUGUAUGCAGAAGUAGAGGCGCUGGCCUCAGGCUCCUCCACUUCCUCUUGGACAGAAGACGCUGAGCAUUUUUUCAGGAAGUGGUCACCCCAGUGGUCCCCGGCUUUCUCAGACUUCCUGCAGCUCUCUACACAGUGAAUCACAGUGAGACACUGGCAGCAGGCACCACGGAAGGGACCCUCAAAUCUGAAGGCUCAAGGUCCUGGGAAAAGAUGAAGUGGAGCAUGCCUCUUGUUUCCUCCUAUUAGAUGCUGAGUGUUGGAAGUUCUUCCUAGGAUUCACAAAGAAACUCCUGCUCUUCUUCCACAUACUUUUUCCUGGGAAAGAAAACUUGUUUCACUGGCAGAAAAGAUCCCCACUGUUAAAGUGAGGUAAGGAUAUCUCAUGUCAGGGUAGGCAUCUGCAUUCUCACUUUGAUUUCUGCUUGAAGCUGAUUCUCAGCUCUGCACUUUGAGAAAUUUGAUUUUACCUGACCUAUGCCCUUCUGGAAUUUAUUGGGAAAUAGAAUUAAGCCUGGAAGAAAGUUC